GGCGGAGUAUCGAGGAGAACUUCGACUGAUCUGAACCCAUGGAACUGAACUAAUCUUGGACAGCACCUCCACUUGAUUGUAGGAGAAUAUGACUGGCUUGGACGGAUUGAAUUGGACAGAGCUUCCGCGUCACAAUCGUAGAGAAUCGCCGAUUGGACGGAACUGGCCUUCUCGGUGGAGUAUCGGUCUUCAGAACUCAGCUACACUUUCUUUCUCUCUCUCUCUAACCACGUUGACUUGCUUCCCA
rnacentral:lncRNA from 1 species